rnacentral:rRNA from 1 species
AGUGAACGCUGGCGGUAGGCCUAACACAUGCAAGUCGAACGGCAGCACAGUAAGAGCUUGCUCUUACGGGUGGCGAGUGGCGGACGGGUGAGGAAUACAUCGGAAUCUACUUUUUCGUGGGGGAUAACGUAGGGAAACUUACGCUAAUACCGCAUACGACCUACGGGUGAAAGCAGGGGAUCUUCGGACCUUGCGCGAUUGAAUGAGCCGAUGUCGGAUUAGCUAGUUGGCGGGGUAAAGGCCCACCAAGGCGACGAUCCGUAGCUGGUCUGAGAGGAUGAUCAGCCACACUGGAAAUGAGACACGGUCCAGACUCAAACGGGAGGCAGCAGUGGGGAAUAUUGGACAAUGGGCGCAAGCCUGAUCCAGACAUACCGCGUGGGUGAAGAAGGCCUUCGGGUUGUAAAGCCCUUUUGUUGGGAAAGAAAAGCAGCAGGUUAAUACCCCGCUGUUCUGACGGUACCCAAAGAAUAAGCACCGGCUAACUUCGUG